rnacentral:rRNA from 1 species
GACGAACGCUGGCGGCGUGCCUAAUACAUGCAAGUUGAGCGCUGAAGGUUGGUACUUGUCCCAACUGGAUGAGCAGCGAACGGGUGAGUAACGCGUGGGGAAUCUGCCUUUGAGCGGGGGACAACAUUUGGAAACGAAUGCUAAUACCGCAUAAAAACUUUAAACACAAGUUUUAAGUUUGAAAGAUGCAAUUGCAUCACUCAAAGAUGAUCCCGCGUUGUAUUAGCUAGUUGGUGAGGUAAAGGCUCACCAAGGCGAUGAUACAUAGCCGACCUGAGAGGGUGAUCGGCCACAUUGGGACUGAGACACGGCCCAAACUCCUUCGGGAGGCAGCAGUAGGGAAGCUUCGGCAAUGGACGAAAGUCUGACCGAGCAACGCCGCGUGAGUGAAGAAGGGUUUCGGAUCGUAAAACUCUGUUGGUAGAGAAGAACGUUGGUGAGAGUGGAAAGCUCAUCAAGUGACGGUAACUACCCAGAAAGGGACGGCUAACUACGUG